rnacentral:rRNA from 1 species
UACGUAGGGGGCUAGCGUUGUCCGGAUUUAUUGGGCGUAAAGAGCGUGUAGGCGGCCAGGCAGGUCUGGUGUGAAAACUCGAGGCUUAACCUCGAGAUGUCAUCGGAAACCAUCUGGCUAGAGUCCGGAAGAGGAGAGUGGAAUUCCUGGUGUAGCGGUGAAAUGCGCAGAUAUCAGGAAGAACACCAAUGGCGAAAGCAGCUCUCUGGGACGGUACUGACGCUGAGACACGAAAGCGUGGGGAGCGAACAGG